rnacentral:rRNA from 1 species
UACGAAGGGGGCUAGCGUUGUUCGGAAUUACUGGGCGUAAAGCGCGCGCAGGCGGUUUUCCAAGUCAGUGGUGAAAGCCCGGAGCUCAACUCCGGAAAUGCCAUUGAAACUGUAAAACUUGAGGACGAGAGAGGUGAGUGGAAUUCCCAGUGUAGAGGUGAAAUGCGCAGAUAUUGGGAGGAACACCAGUGGCGAAGGCGGCUCACUGGACCGGUUCUGACGCUGAAGCGCGAAAGCGUGGGGAGCAAACGGG